rnacentral:rRNA from 1 species
GACGAACCGAGCGAACGUUGUUCGGAAUCACUGGGCUUAAAGGGCGCGUAGGCGGGCUGCCAAGUUUGGGGUGAAAUCCUCCGGCUCAACCGGGGAAGUGCCUCGAAUACUGGCGGUCUCGAGGGAGGUAGGGGCGUGCGGAACUGUAGGUGGAGCGGUGAAAUGCGUUGAUAUCUACAGGAACUCCGGUGGCGAAGGCGGCAUACUGGACCACAUCUGACGCUGAGGCGCGAAAGCCAGGGGAGCGAACGGG